rnacentral:rRNA from 1 species
AGCAGCCGCGGUAAUUCCAGCUCCAAUAGCGUAUAUUAAAGUUGUUGCAGUUAAAAAGCUCGUAGUUGAAUUUCGAGACCGGCUUACUGGUCGUGCUAUUGUACGUACUGGUAUAAUCGGUUUCUCCUUUCUGACGAACUAUAAUGCCAUUAAUUUGGUGUUAUAGGGAAUCAGGACUGUUACUUUGAAAAAAUUAGAGUGUUUAAAGCAGGCUCACGCUUGAAUACAUUAGCAUGGAAUAACGGAAUAGGACGUUUGAUUCUAUUUUGUUGGUUUCUAGGAUCGACGUAAUGAUUAAUAGGGAUAGUUGGGGGCAUUAGUAUUCAAUUGUCAGAGGUGAAAUUCUUGGAUUUAUUGAAGGACUAACUACUGCGAAAGCAUUUGCCAAGGAUGUUUUCAUUAAUCAAGAACGAAAGUUAGGGGAUCGAAGACGAUCAGAUACCGUCGUAGUCUUAACCAUAGGCUAUGCCGACUAGGGAUCGGAUGAUGUUAAUUUUUUUAAUGACUCAUUCGGCGCCUU